rnacentral:rRNA from 1 species
CCCAGCGGAAAUAGCACGUUGAAUGAAUGAGUUUCCGAGGGAUCACUGAAGUUAAGCAACGUUGUGCGUGUUUGGUAUAUUGACGUGUGACCGGGACAAUACGUGCUGCUGAUC